UACGGAGGAUCCGAGCGUUAUCCGGAUUUACUGGGCGUAAAGCGCGUGUAGGUGGUUCUGUAAGUAGGGCGUGAAAGCUCCCGGCUCAACUGGGAGAGGCCGUUCUAAACUGCAGAGCUAGAGGAUGGUAGAGGGAGGUGGAAUUCCAGGUGUAGCGGUGGAAUGCGCAGAUAUCUGGAGGAACACCAGUGGCGAAGGCGGCCUCCUGGACCAUUCCUGACACUCAGACGCGAAAGCUAGGGUAGCAAACGGGAUUAGAUACCCCUGUA
rnacentral:rRNA from 1 species